rnacentral:rRNA from 1 species
GAUGAACGCUGGCGGCGUGCCUAAUACAUGCAAGUCGAGCGAACGGACGAGAAGCUUGCUUCUCUGAUGUUAGCGGCGGACGGGUGAGUAACACGUGGAUAACCUACCUAUAAGACUGGGAUAACUUCGGGAAACCGGAGCUAAUACCGUAUAAUAUUGUGAUCCGCAUGGUUCAAAAGUGAAAGACGGUCUUGCUGUCACUGCUAGAUUGAUCCGGGCUGCUUUAGCUAGUUGGUAAGGUAACGGCUUACCAAGGCAACGAUGCGUAGCCGACCUGAGAGGGUGGUAGGCCACACUGGAGCUGAGACACGGUCCCGACUCCUAUGGGAGGCACCAGUAGGGUAUCUUUCGCAAUGGGCGAGAGCUUGACGGAGCACCGCGGCUUGAGUGAUGAAGGUCUUCUGAUCGUAAAGCUCUUUUUUUAGGGAAGAACAUAUGUGUCAGUAAAUGUGUACAUCUUGACGGUAACGGCUCAGAAAGCAACGGCUAACUACGUG